rnacentral:rRNA from 1 species
GACGAACGCUGGCGGCGUGCUUAACACAUGCAAGUCGAACGGAAAGGCCCUGCUUUUGUGGGGUGCUCGAGCGGCGAACGGGUGAGUAACACGUGAGUAACCUGCCCUUGACUUUGGGAUAACUUCAGGAAACUGGGGCUAAUACCGGAUAGGAGCUCCUGCUGCAUGGUGGGGGUUGGAAAGUUUCGGCGGUUGGGGAUGGACUCGCGGCUUAUCAGCUUGUUGGUGGGGUAGUGGCUUACCAAGGCUUUGACGGGUAGCCGGCCUGAGAGGGUGACCGGCCACAUUGGGACUGAGAUACGGCCCAGACUCCUACGGGAGGCAGCAGUGGGGAAUAUUGCACAAUGGGCGGAAGCCUGAUGCAGCAACGCCGCGUGCGGGAUGACGGCCUUCGGGUUGUAAACCGCUUUCGCCUGUGACGAAGCGUGAGUGACGGUAAUGGGUAAAGAAGCACCGGCUAUCUACGUG